rnacentral:rRNA from 1 species
UACGGGGGGGGCAAGCGUUGUUCGGAAUUACUGGGCGCAAAGGGCUCGUAGGCGGCCAACUAAGUCAGACGUGAAAUCCCUCGGCUUAACCGGGGAACUGCGUCUGAUACUGGAUGGCUUGAGUUUGGGAGAGGGAUGCGGAAUUCCAGGUGUAGCGGUGAAAUGCGUAGAUAUCUGGAGGAACACCGGUGGCGAAGGCGGCAUCCUGGACCAACACUGACGCUGAGUGAGCGAAAGCCAGGGGAGCAAACGGG